rnacentral:tRNA from 1 species
GGGCCGUUGGCUCAAAUGGCAGAGCGGCGGACUCUUAAUCCGUAGGUUGCAGGUUCAAGUCCUGCACGGCCCA